UACGAAGGGGGCUAGCGUUGUUCGGAAUUACUGGGCGUAAAGCGCGCGCAGGCGGUCUUCCAAGUCAGUGGUGAAAGCCCGGAGCUCAACUCCGGAACUGCCAUUGAAACUGUGAGACUUGAGGAUGAGAGAGGUGAGUGGAAUUCCCAGUGUAGAGGUGAAAUUCGUAGAUAUUAGGAAGAACACCAGUGGCGAAGGCGGCUCACUGGCCCGGUACUGACGCUGAGGCGCGAAAGCGUGGGGAGCAAACAGG
rnacentral:rRNA from 1 species